GAUGAACGCUAGCGGCAGGCCUAACACAUGCAAGUCGAGGGGUAGACAUCUUCGGAUGUUGAGACCGGCGCACGGGUGCGUAACGCGUAUGCAAUCUACCUUAUACUAAGGGCUAGCUCAGAGAAAUUUGGAUUAAUACCUUAUGGUUAAUAAAGCCGGCAGCGGUUUAAUUAUAAAGAUUUAUUUGUAUAAGAUAAGCAUGCGUCCCAUUAGUUAGUUGGUAAGGUAACGGCUUAGCAAGACGAUGAUGGGUAGGGGUCAUGAGAGGGAGAUCCCCCACCCGGGUGCUGAGACACGGACCAGACGACUGCGGGAGGCAGCAGUGAGGAAUAUUGGUCAAUGGACGGAAGUCUGAACCAGCCAUGCCGCGUGCAGGAUGAAGCAUCUAUGGCGUGUAAACUGCUUUUGUACGGGAAGAAAAAAGGCUACGUGUAGUUUACUGACGGUACCGUAAGAAUAAGGAUCGACUAACUCCGUGCCAGCCGCCGCGGUAA
rnacentral:rRNA from 1 species